UAGGGANUCUUCGGCAAUGGGGGCAACCCUGACCGAGCAACGCCGCGUGAGUGAAGAAGGUUUUCGGAUCGUAAAGCUCUGUUGUAAGAGAAGAACGGGUGUGAGAGUGGAAAGUUCACACUGUGACGGUAUCUUACCAGAAAGGGACGGCUAACUACGUGCCAGCAGCCGCGGUAAUACGUAGGUCCCGAGCGUUAUCCGGAUUUAUUGGGCGUAAAGCGAGCGCAGGCGGUUAGAUAAGUCUGAAGUUAAAGGCCGUGGCUUAACCAUAGUACGCUUUGGAAACUGUUUAACUUGAGUGCAGAAGGGGAGAGUGGAAUUCCAUGUGUAGCGGUGAAAUGCGUAGAUAUAUGGAGGAACACCGGUGGCGAAAGCGGCUCUCUGGUCUGUAACUGACGCUGAGGCUCGAAAGCGUGGGGAGCAAACAGGAUUAGAUACCCUGGUAGUCCACGCCGUANCGAUGAGUGCUAGGUGUUGGGUCCUUUCCGGGACUCAGUGCCGCAGCUAACGCAUUAAGCACUCCGCCUGGGGAGUACGACCGCAAGGUU
rnacentral:rRNA from 1 species